rnacentral:lncRNA from 1 species
CCCAGAUCAAGACUGCAACAGCUCCUCCAAUGCUGGGCACUUCUCACCUGCUAACAAGACAGAGGAGCGACCUGGAAAGGUCCAGCCACCUCCUCUCCCAUCCUCUGGCCCCCUUUCUACCACCCGCCUCACACAUGAAAUAGUUUCUCAUCCUCAUCUGUUGGCAGAAACUCCAACUUUAGCACUCCACUUUUUAAAAAUAGAUCACUGUUAAAAUUCCCCCAGAAGGAAUAACCUUAAAAUUAUUAUUAGGCACCGACACGUUGGAGAAAAGAAAGGAAUUCAGCGAUUUUGAAAGAGGAUGUGCUGGAGACGGUUGGGGGUUGGGGAGAUACCUAACUAACAUUUCUUGAGAAGCCGCCUGAUGUCAGAAGCUUCAUGAAUGUGGACAAGGAUUAUCCUCAGCCCUGAAAGGCAACUGGUGUUCUCUUCCAUGUUAAGUGAGACACGUGAAGAAGCCCAGAGAGGCUGAGUCACGCUUAAAAUCACACAGCAGGUUGGACCUGGAGUCUGGACUGGAACCCUGGAGCCAGGAAGGGAGAGACAGCAACCCACACACCAUCUGGCUUUAUAUGGUUGCAGGCUUCAGAUCACAGAAACGUCGCAAACCAUGGUAGUAUCUGCAACUUUGUCCCCAGUGCUCUCCGAGGACCCAGGAACGGGUGGGUUGCACGUGGUUCCUGCCCUCCCAGAGCUGCCCCGAGAGCCCAGGGAGUCCCAGGUAAGGGCGUGAUCUCAGCUGUGAGCAUGCAAGAAGGGCCACUGAGAACCGGUGGGGACCGGAGUCAGGGAGGCCGGUGAGGGGAAGGAGGCUGCUGCGGGGGUCAGGGGAGGGGCCGGGAGCCCUGGGCUGGGGCUGUCCAGUGGAAUGAGGAAGGAGAGAGGACAGAGUCCAAAGGUCACCAAGAGGUCUCGGUGCAGGGCUUGGUGGCCCGGGUAACGUGCAGCUGGAGCCCUUGCCUUCACCCCGAGGCCUCUCCCUUCCCCAGCUCUCGGGACCCCACCCUUGCCUCCCCCA